GACGAACGCUGGCGGCGUGCUUAACACAUGCAAGUCGAACGGAAAGGCCCUGCUUUUGUGGGGUGCUCGAGUGGCGAACGGGUGAGUAACACGUGAGUAACCUGCCCUUGACUUUGGGAUAACUUCAGGAAACUGGGGCUAAUACCGGAUAGGAGCUCCUGCUGCAUGGUGGGCGUUGGAACGUUUCGGCGGUUGGGGAUGGACUCGCGGCUUAUCAGCUUGUUGGUGGGGUAGUGGCAUACCAAGGCUUUGACGGGUAGCCGGCAUGAGAGGGUGACCGGCCACAUUGGGACUGAGAGAGGGACCAGACUCCUACGGGAGGCAGCAGGGGGGAAUAUUGCACAAUGGGCGGAAGCCUGAUGCAGCAACGCCGCGGGCGUGAUGACGGCCUUCGGGUUGUAAACCGCUUUCGCCUGUGACGAAGCGUGAGUGACGGUAAUGGGUAAAGAAGCACCGGCUAACUACGUG
rnacentral:rRNA from 1 species